rnacentral:rRNA from 1 species
GAACGCUGGCGGCAGGCCUAACACAUGCAAGUCGAGCGGUAGCACAGAGAGCUUGCUCUCGGGUGACGAGCGGCGGACGGGUGAGUAAUGUCUGGGAAACUGCCUGAUGGAGGGGGAUAACUACUGGAAACGGUAGCUAAUACCGCAUAAUGUCGCAAGACCAAAGUGGGGGACCUUCGGGCCUCAUGCCAUCAGAUGUGCCCAGAUGGGAUUAGCUAGUAGGUGGGGUAACGGCUCACCUAGGCGACGAUCCCUAGCUGGUCUGAGAGGAUGACCAGCCACACUGGAACUGAGACACGGUCCAGACUCCUACGGGAGGCAGCAGUGGGGAAUAUUGCACAAUGGGCGCAAGCCUGAUGCAGCCAUGCCGCGUGUGUGAAGAAGGCCUUCGGGUUGUAAAGCACUUUCAGCGGGGAGGAAGGCGAUGAGGUUAAUAACCUUGUCGAUUGACGUUACCCGCAGAAGAAGCACCGGCUAACUCCGUGCCAGCAGCCGCGGUAAUACGGAGGGUGCAAGCGUUAAUCGGAAUUACUGGGCGUAAAGCGCACGCAGGCGGUCUGUCAAGUCGGAUGUGAAAUCCCCGGGCUCAACCUGGGAACUGCAUUCGAAACUGGCAGGCUAGAGUCUUGUAGAGGGGGGUAGAAUUCCAGGUGUAGCGGUGAAAUGCGUAGAGAUCUGGAGGAAUACCGGUGGCGAAGGCGGCCCCCUGGACAAAGACUGACGCUCAGGUGCGAAAGCGUGGGGAGCAAACAGGAUUAGAUACCCUGGUAGUCCACGCCGUAAACGAUGUCGAUUUGGAGGUUGUGCCCUUGAGGCGUGGCUUCCGGAGCUAACGCGUUAAAUCGACCGCCUGGGGAGUACGGCCGCAAGGUUAAAACUCAAAUGAAUUGACGGGGGCCCG